GAUGAACGCUGGCGGCGUGCCUAACACAUGCAAGUCGAGCGAAGCACUUUGCUUAGAUUCUUCGGAUGAAGAGGAUUGUGACUGAGCGGCGGACGGGUGAGUAACGCGUGGGUAACCUGCCUCAUACAGGGGAUAACAGUUAGAAAUGACUGCUAAUACCGCAUAAGACCACAGCACCGCAUGGUGCGGGGGUAAAAACUCCGGUGGUAUGAGAUGGACCCGCGUCUGAUUAGCUAGUUGGUAAGGUAACGGCUUACCAAGGCGACGAUCAGUAGCCGACCUGAGAGGGUGACCGGCCACAUUGGGACUGAGACACGGCCCAAACUCCUACGGGAGGCAGCAGUGGGGAAUAUUGCACAAUGGGGGAAACCCUGAUGCAGCGACGCCGCGUGAGCGAAGAAGUAUUUCGGUAUGUAAAGCUCUAUCAGCAGGGAAGAAAAUGACGGUACCUGACUAAGAAGCACCGGCUAAAUACGUGCCAGCAGCCGCGGUAAUACGUAUGGUGCAAGCGUUAUCCGGAUUUACUGGGUGUAAAGGGAGCGUAGACGGAUGGGCAAGUCUGAUGUGAAAACCCGGGGCUCAACCCCGGGACUGCAUUGGAAACUGUUCAUCUAGAGUGCUGGAGAGGUAAGUGGAAUUCCUAGUGUAGCGGUGAAAUGCGUAGAUAUUAGGAGGAACACCAGUGGCGAAGGCGGCUUACUGGACAGUAACUGACGUUGAGGCUCGAAAGCGUGGGGAGCAAACAGGAUUAGAUACCCUGGUAGUCCACGCCGUAAACGAUGACUACUAGGUGUCGGGUGGCAAAGCCAUUCGGUGCCGCAGCAAACGCAAUAAG
rnacentral:rRNA from 1 species